CCGGCCUGGCAGAACCGCGCUCUCGAUAUUUUUUUCUCUCUGGAACGAAAAGAUAUGCAGAUCUCGAACGCAUGGCGUCCCGCCGCCACCUAGUAUGCCCUCCUCCUUCUAUCUAUAAAAUAUCUUUUAGAGUCGUUUGAACUAAAAGGUGUGAUGAAGUGGAUAUUGUGUUACAUAUAAAAAGUUUUGCAAAGCAAUAAUAAGAAAUGAAUAAUCAAAAAUCAGAGAACGUUACAUCACUUCAAAUUUUAACGUAACACAUUGCAGAAACAUAGCAGAGACAUGGAAUUGUAACAUUUUAUCGGAAAUGUUAAAACAACAUUGCAGAAACAUUAUAAAUAAUUAAAAACUAUAAUGCUAUAAUUUAUGCAUAAUAUAUAGUAAAAAAACGAUGCUUUGCAAGAAGCCUUAAUAGAAGCAUUGAAAGAACCAACAGCGCAUGUUACUGAUCCGCUAGAUGGAUUUUUAGCACGGUUGAGAAAAGGCAAGCGAAGGCUGCCAUAGCACGACAGAGCUCGUCUGGAAAUACAAUUUUUGACGUUGCUCGCCGAAAAGGAAGAUCUGUGUGCUUACAAUGAUCCAAAUACUGAACAAUCAACAUUUUUCAUAUUAGCUGGAAACGUUUUUUUCAUUUUACAAAAAUAUUUAAUAAGUUUUUAUUUUUAUUUAUUACGAAAAGUUA